GAGGCAGGUCCCACCUCCUGCCAUCCUGAGGAUGGGGGGCAGAGGGAAGGGUCUCCGAAUGGCAGGGAGCAGUACAGGCUGCUGGAGCCAGCCCAGGACCGCCCCUCCUGGCCCAGUCAGUGCCCCUGGGCCUAAGAAACUGUCUCCUGUGGGAGGUAUUGGCCAAAUCCUUUCUCUGCUCCCAGCACCUAGGGAGGCUGCAGAUGGCAGUAUCUCUGGGGACAGCAGCUGCGACUGAGUCCACGGGCUGACACUGAGCUGCUUAGGCCGAGGCGGUGCACUCAGCCCAGAGCCCCCGGAACAGGCAUCUGCAGGGCGUCAGCCUAGGCGCCGCGAUGCCGCACUUCCUGGACUGGUUCGUGCCUGUUUACCUGUUCAUCUCUGUCCUCAUCCUGGUGGGCUUCGGCGCCUGCAUCUACUACUUCGAACCCGGCUUGCAGGAGGCGCACAAGUGGCGCAUGCAGCGCCCCCUGGUGGACCGUGAUUUCCGCAAGACACUGAUGGUCCGCGACAACCUGGCCUUCGGGGGCCCGGAGGUCUGAGUUGACGGGCUCCGGUGGCGGUGGGGGAGCGGACACCGGAUACCUUCUCCCGCCCCACCUAGGCUGGAGACUCUGUGGCAGAGGGAGGACGACCCCUGGUCCCCCAGGCCAUCCCUCUGCAGCCUGGGUCCUCCCAGGAGGAGAUGCUCUGGGAGGACCCUGGCUGUGGAGGGACGGCGCGCUCCGGUGCCUUGAGGUAUCCCUGCUGAUGGCCCAGGGCUUGCUCUCCAGGUCAAGCCAGCUCACCCCACAGCUGCCCUCCCCAGCUCUAGGGCCACCCCCAGUGCCUUCGUGCCUCCCAGCACUCCUGCCCUUCCACCUGGAGUCAGGUGGGCUGCCCCUGCCUGCCUGAGCCUCUAGAUCUCCCACUUCCCUGCUGAUCCUUGGGUACCCUCAGCUCCCCACUCCAGCCAAUGGUAGUGGCCCUGCAGCUUCAUGUGGCGGGCUUCAGAGCAGACUCCAGCAAGGGGUCCUCUUUGGAGGGAUGUCAGCUUGGCCCAACCCAGCCCCACACUCUGGAUCCAGGCUUGGUACUGAUGAGUGUGUGUGGUGGGGUGUGCAAGGGGCAAGACCAUAGAGGAAGGAGGGGUAUGUGUGUGUGUGUGUGAUAUAGAGAGAGAGGGAGAGAGAGAGAGAGAGAGAGAGAGAGGGAAAGGGAGAGAGACAGAAGUUUGGUGGGUGUGGGCCGGCAUGGGGAGGGGAGGAGAUGCAGGUAUGUGAGAGCCCCCUGGAGAGUGGGGUCCCCAGGAAGGGUGGGAGUUAGGGGUGAUGGGGUGAAUUUUAGGGGCGGUGUGGGGCCCCCUUCACUCUGCUGGAUUUCCCUCCCCUCCCCUUUCCCAAGGCUGGCAGGACCCCACCCUCCACCCCCCUCUGGUUCUGCACUGUACCUCCAGGGCACCUCCAUCCGGCUGAGCCAGGCCCCCGCCCCAGGCCCCCCAGCUCAUCUGGAGCCCUCCUCCUCCGUGGAGCACCACCGCCUACUUUUGGACAAAGAUCGGCAACCUGCCUCUUCUCCUCCUUGGGGGGCCUCCAUCUUAAUUUACUGCAAUAAUAAAGACUUCAUGACUAA
rnacentral:lncRNA from 1 species